AUCCCAUUAACAUUCACAGUUGUCCUAACUGCUCUCUCUCUCUCUCUCUCUCUCUCUCUCUCUCUCUCUCUCUCUCUCUCUCUCUCUCUCUCUCUCUCUCUCUCUCUCUCUCUCUCUCUCUCUCUCUCUUUAUAUAUAUAUAUAUUUCUCUCUCUCUCUCUCUCUCUCUCUCUCUCUCUCUCUCUCUCUCUCUCUCUCUCUCUCUCUCUCCCUUAAUUCCUUCUUUCUGUAUUAAUUAAAAUCUCCAUAAUUCCCAGCUGACUUGGGUAUUUUUAUUAUUUGGGAAUCAUCC
rnacentral:lncRNA from 1 species